rnacentral:telomerase_RNA from 1 species
ACCAUUGCAUCAAGCCGGCCCACGAAGGGUGUGCAAGGGUCCACAACCCAGUAACCCUAAAUUAAGGAUUGCAAGCGCCCUGCGCGGCAAAGGCUUCAGGGGUCUUCUUAGACGCGUCUGCCCUUGCCCGCGAUGGAUCAUACCGUCGCCGCUGAACCAGAAAGUGUCACAUGUGCUGGUGCGAUGCAAUGGAAGGUUACGAUGGUGGUUCGUGGUGUGGUGGCAGCAGGCCGACUUGCGCAGUGCGCAACGGUCGAAAGGGCUGGACCCUGCGCUGCUACCCGAAGCCGGAAUUACCACGAGCGAGGGUGCUGCAUAUUUG